rnacentral:rRNA from 1 species
UACGGAGGGUGCAAGCGUUGUCCGGAUUUAUUGGGUUUAAAGGGUGCGUAGGCGGCUUGUUAAGUCAGGGGUGAAAGACGAUUGCUCAACAAUCGCAGUGCCUUUGAUACUGAUGAGCUUGAGUAUAGAUGAGGCAGGCGGAAUUUAUGGUGUAGCGGUGAAAUGCAUAGAUACCAUAAAGAACACCGAUUGCGAAGGCAGCCUGCUAAACUAUAACUGACGCUGAGGCACGAAAGCGUGGGGAUCGAACAGG